rnacentral:rRNA from 1 species
UAGGGAAUCUUCCACAAUGGGCGCAAGCCUGAUGGAGCAACGCCGCGUGAGUGAAGAAGGUCUUCGGAUCGUAAAACUCUGUUGUUAGAGAAGAACAUGCAGGAGAGUAACUGUUCCUGUAUUGACGGUAUCUAACCAGAAAGCCACGGCUAACUACGUGCCAG